AGUCGAACGGUGAAGCAGAGCUUGCUCUGUGGAUCAGUGGCGAACGGGUGAGUAACACGUGAGCAACCUGCCCUUGACUCUGGGAUAAGCGCUGGAAACGGCGUCUAAUACCGGAUAUGAGCUGCGAUCGCAUGGUCAGCAGUUGGAAAGAUUUUUCGGUCUGGGAUGGGCUCACGGCCUAUCAGCUUGUUGGUGAGGUAAUGGCUCACCAAGGCGUCGACGGGUAGCCGGCCUGAGAGGGUGACCGGCCACACUGGGACUGAGACACGGCCCAGACUCCUACGGGAGGCAGCAGUGGGGAAUAUUGCACAAUGGGCGAAAGCCUGAUGCAGCAACGCCGCGUGAGGGAUGACGGCCUUCGGGUUGUAAACCUCUUUUAGCAGGGAAGAAGCGAAAGUGACGGUACCUGCAGAAAAAGCGCCGGCUAACUACGUGCCAGCAGCCGCGGUAAUACGUAGGGCGCAAGCGUUAUCCGGAAUUAUUGGGCGUAAAGAGCUCGUAGGCGGUUUGUCGCGUCUGCUGUGAAAUCCCGAGGCUCAACCUCGGGUCUGCAGUGGGUACGGGCAGACUAGAGUGCGGUAGGGGAGAUUGGAAUUCCUGGUGUAGCGGUGGAAUGCGCAGAUAUCAGGAGGAACACCGAUGGCGAAGGCAGAUCUCUGGGCCGUUACUGACGCUGAGGAGCGAAAGGGUGGGGAGCAAACAGGCUUAGAUACCCUGGUAGUCCACCCCGUAAACGUUGGGAACUAGUUGUGGGGUCCAUUCCACGGAUUCCGUGACGCAGCUAACGCAUUAAGUUCCCCGCCUGGG
rnacentral:rRNA from 1 species